rnacentral:rRNA from 1 species
AGUCUGGUGCCAGCAGCCGCGGUAAUUCCAGCUCCAAUAGCGUAUAUUAAAGUUGUUGCAGUUAAAAAGCUCGUAGUCUGAGUCUUGGUUGAUGUGGAACGUCCGUGGCCGCUUCAAAACGGUCACGCGCAUGUGAUGCAUCUGGCCAUUAUUGUACUUCGGAGGAACAUGGGUGCUUUUAACUAAGUGCUCAUGGGAUUCCGAUAGUUUACUUUGAGAAAAAUAGAGUGUUCAAAGCAGGCGUUUUUGCCUUUGAAUACAUUAGCAUGGGAUAAUGAAAUAGGACAUUGGUUCUAUUUUGUUGGUUUACGGACCGAUGUAAUGAUUAAUAGGAACAGUUGGGGACAUUCAUAUUCCAUGGCUAGAGGUGAAAUUCUUGGAUUCAUGGAAGAUGAACUACUGCGAAAGCAUUUGUCAAAGAUGUUUUCAUUGAUCAAGAACGAAAGUUAGGGGAGCAAAGACGAUCAGAUACCGUCGUAGUCUUAACCAUAAACGAUGCCGACUAGGGAUCGGUGGGUGUUAGUUUUAUGACUCCAUCGGCACCUCAUGGGAAACCAAAGUCUUUGGGUUCCGGGGGGAGUAUGGUCGCAAGGCUGAAACUUAAAGGAAUUGACGGAAGGGCACCACCAGGAGUGGAGCCUGCGGCUUAAUUUGACCCAACACGGGAAAACUCACCAGGUCCAGAUAUGGUAAGGAUUGACAGAUUGAGAGCUCUUUCUUGAUUCCAUGAAAGGUGGCGCAUGGCCGUUCUUAGUUGGUGGAGUGAUUUGUCUGGUUAAUUCCGUUAACGAACGAGACCUUGACCUGCUAACUAGUCACGGGAAGCAUUUUUUGCUUGCCGGCUGUACUUCUUAGAGGGACAAUCUGUGUUUCCAGCAGAUGGAAGCUCGAGGCAAUAACAGGUCUGUGAUGCCCUUAGAUGUCCUGGGCUGCACGCGCGCUACACUGACGAACUCAACGAGUUUAUCACCUUGGCAGAGAUGUCUGGGUAAUCUUUUAAAGGUUCGUCGUGAUGGGGAUAGAUGAUUGUAAUUAUUCGUCUUGAACGAGGAAUUCCUAGUAAGUGUGAGUCAUCAGCUCGCGCUGAUUACGUCCCUGCCCUUUGUACACACCGCCCGUCGCUCCUACCGAUUGAAUGGUCCGGUGAGAACGUCGGAUCACGCGCCAGAUACUGGUUCACGCCAGUGACUUGUGCGAGAGAAGUUGUUCAAACCUUACCAUUUAGAGGAAGGAGAAGUCGUAACAAGGU